GACGAACGCUGGCGGCACGCUUAACACAUGCAAGUCGAACGAGAGAACAGUACCUUUCUUUUCUGAUCUAGUGGCGGACGGGUGAGUAACACGUGAGCAAUCUGCCUUUCAGAGUGGGAUACCUUUUGGAAACUAUCGUUAAUACCGCAUAACAUAAUUUAACCCCUUGUUUUGAUUAUCAAAGAUUUAGCGGUGAAAGUUGAGCUCGCGUUUGAUUAGCUAGUUGGUAAGGUAACGGAAGACCAAGGCGACGAGCAGGAGCCGGAGUGAGAGGUUGAUCGGCCAGAUUGGGAUUGAGACACGACCCAGACGCCUACGAGAGGCAGGAGUGGGGAAAAUUGCACAAGGGAGGAAACGCAGAAGCAGCGAGGCCGCGAGAGGGAAGAAGGGUUUAGGAUUGUAAACCGCUGGCGACAGGGAGGAAAAGAGACGAAACGUGAAGAGGAAGCUCCGGCAAACUACG
rnacentral:rRNA from 1 species